GGCUCAUUUGAUACGCCGGGUUUCGAUGGCCCAAUCCCUCGGAUUCCCCUCAGAUCCCUCGUUUCCACGUGGUUCAGAGCCCUCGAGGGGGGACUCGGGGAUUUGGAGGAGACGAUCCUACCUGCCGCCCGCUCAACGCGCCGCCGCCCGCCUCCUCCUCAAGCCGCCGUCGCCCGCCACCUCAACACCGGCGUACCUUCUCCAUCAUACUGGCCUUCACCCCGAAGGUAUGUCCUCGCCGCCCCUCCCCUCCUUCCACGGAGGUAAGUCCUCGCCAUGGCUGCCACCUCCCGUGCAUCCUCCAUCCGCCUUGUCCUCCGGGCGAGCUCGCCAAGAACGCAGUCUCCCUCUCCUAGUCAUGGACCGUCACUUCUUGCCCCUCGUCGACCCUACCCCAACCUGUCGAGAUUGCAAUAAAUUAGUGAUGGUGAUGUUCUGAUGGAUCUAUGAGGAUAAAUUGGCAGAUUGUAGUACUGGAUUAGCAGAUUGUAGUGCUGGAUAAAUCAGCAGAUUGUAGUACUGGUUCAGUAAAUUAGCAGAUGGUGAUGGUAUGAUGGAUAAAUUAGCAGAUUCUGGUACUACUAAGCAUCAGCACAACAAAGCAAUGUAGUGGUCUUUUUUUACAUGGAUGGUGAAUAAUCUGUAAACCACUAGUUCAAAGCAACGUAGUGGUCUGAUGGAUUUUUGUCUUGUUUACAUAUUUAGUUUCCAACAUAAUGGUCGCUUGAUUCGUUUCAUGCCUGUAUAUAUCAUGCUCAUUUGUUACCACGAUCAUCCCUGCUUAUUUUUGUUGAUUAUCUCUGUUUAUUUCAAUAAAUCUCAUGAUUUAUGUCUGUAUAUUACUCCCUCCGUUCCUAAAUAUUUGUCUUUUUAGAGAUUCAAAUGGACUAUCACAUACGGAUGUAUAUAGACAUAUUUUAGAGUGUAGAUUCACUCAUUUUGCUCCGUAUGUAGUGACUUGUUGAAAUCUCUAGAAAGACAAAUAUUUAGGAACGGAGGGAGUACAAAUGAUUUUUAGUAAAUAUGCAUACCACUAUAGCUACUGUGGUGACACAUUCAUGUUCAGAAAAUCCACAACGAACAGUUCAAUUGUCCACACGAAUUAGGAGGGAAAAAAGAUUGUCGUUCCAAUCGGGCCUUGGCUACAUUUGUAGUAUCAUUUUACUGUUGUUUCAGCACAAGGUUCUAUCCAUCUGCUGUUUAGGCAAGUGCAGCAUGUGUAGUUUUGGGAUAGCAGGACCAAACUGAAUCUGUGUACAUAAGCCAUCAUCAUUUCACAAGUACUAGCACUCCUGUUAACUGUGGCAAACUUUAUAGCCAACUCUGUGGCAAAAGAAAUUAAACAGUGUUAUUUCCCAUCUGUAAAUAAAUAAAUAGUAUUGUUGCCAGCUCCAUGCUGAUAAAUAAAUAGUAUUGAUGCCCAUCUGUUUCAGCUUUCAUGUGCAAAAUUUACUAGUAUCCAUGUAGGACUAGAAAUUUGUGACAUCUAGCUUUAGAUGAGCAUGUUUGUGAGCCCAAAUCUGUGGGAUAAAUUGUGAGGCAAAAUGUAUCAUCAUGUACAUGCUUUCCUGGUUGUUGUUUCCACUAUAAACAAGCAUAUGUUCAUCUCUUUUUGUUUCAUCAGGUUCUCUUAGGCAACCAAUGAAGCAAAGACUAAACAAGCUGGAUGGAUAAACUUUUGACCACUCAAAAGCUGGAUGAUCAUUGAGCUAUUGCACAAGUACCAAUUAUGGCAUUGUGUUGUGAC
rnacentral:lncRNA from 1 species